AGUCCAGUCACCUUCAAUCUUUCAUUUAUUUCUGUUGAAAAUUUGUUUUCUGCAGCAAAAAAGUCUAGCAGAUAUGUGUUCGUCUGCAAUUUCCUUCAUUUCAAGUCCACAAUCACUUAGCCUCACCCAUGUCUUCCCAACUAAAACAAAUCCAAUAUUCAAUUGCAGGGUCCCUCCCUUGAAGCCACCUUCCUUCAUCAGAAUCCCAUAUGGUUCCUUUAAGAAGCCCUCCUUUUUCACUUCCUCCAAGCCCUUUUCUCCUCUCAUGAAAUGGCAGGAUUGCACGGUAAAAAUGGAAAUUGAUGUUCCUGCCUCGGUGGCUUACCAAUUGUACUCUGAUCGAGAAGCAAUUCCCAAUUGGAUGCCAUUCGUUUCAUCUGUGAAGGUAUUAGAAGACAAGCCUGAUUUGUCACGGUGGUUCGUGAAAUAUAAAGCAUUUGGUCGUAAUAUUGAAUACUCUUGGCUUGCUAAAAAUAUGGAACCCAUUCCCAAUCAGAAAAUUCAUUGGAGAUCUUUGGAAGGACUUGGUAACAGGGGUGCUGUUCGAUUCUAUCCGAAAGGUCCCUCAUCCUGUUUAGUAGAUGUGAGGCAGCUCUACACUAUAUUUUCAUCACACUAUGAGCAUAUAUAACCUGUUAGAUUGAUGUUGCUGUUCUAAGAAUUUCAUAUGAAGUUCCUCAACUUUUGAUUCCGGUGGCUUCCGUACUUCAACCUUUCAUGGAAAAUUUACUGGAACGAGGUAUGGACCGAUUUGCAAAAUUUGCUAAAAGUUCAAGCUCAGCAAGAUAAUCAUUUCAUAAUCGCUGAUCCAUUGAUGUGACAGUUCACCUAUAUUCAAUCCCAAUACCCCACCGUGUGGGUAUAGUUCUUCAUUCAUCUCUUAAAAUAUCUACCCUGAUUUUAAGAUUUUAUCACAUUAUUAUUAUUAUUAUUAUUAUUUGCAUAAGCUCUGUAAUUCCAUUAAACCAGAUGCAAUUUUGUGGGGUUGGAAAUAAAUGCAUCAAAUUUUCAUUGAUAA